GGUGGCUCAGUGGUAGAGUGCUUGCCUUGCAUGCAAGAGACCCUGGGUUCGAUUCCUCAGCACCA
rnacentral:tRNA from 1 species